rnacentral:rRNA from 1 species
GUAAACGAUGAUUACUGGCUGUUUGCGAUAUAAUGUAAGCGGCUGAGCGAAAGCGUUAAGUAAUCCACCUGGGGAGUACGUUCGCAAGAAUGAAACUCAAAGGAAUUGACGGGGGCCCGCACAAGCGGAGGAACAUGUGGUUUAAUUCGAUGAUACGCGAGGAACCUUACCCGGGCUUGAAAUGCAUCUGGCGUCCCGAGAGAUCGGGAUUUCCUUCGGGACAGAUGUGUAGGUGCUGCAUGGUUGUCGUCAGCUCGUGCCGUGAGGUGUCGGCUUAAGUGCCAUAACGAGCGCAACCCUCAUCGUUAGUUGCCAUCAGGUGAAGCUGGGGACUCUAACGAGACUGCCAUCGUAAGAUGCGAGGAAGGUGGGGAUGACGUCAAAUCAGCACGGCCCUUACGUCCGGGGCGACACACGUGUUACAAUGGGUGGUACAAAGGGCAGCUACAUGGCGACAUGAUGCCAAUCUCCAAAACCACUCUCAGUUCGGAU